rfam:Medicago truncatula strain A17 chromosome 4, whole genome shotgun sequence.
UGCUGAAAUUUUCCUCGGCAGUUAACUGCAGCCGGUUCUUUAAAAUUUCGACAGUUAACUGCCGAAAGGUAUU